GACUCCUCCCAAGUUGGAGAGUGAUGCUUUCCAAGGUUCGCCUGUUAUCACUGAUGAACUUCCUAUCUAUGGCCUCUGUAAUACUGACAGUGUCCUGAAACAGAAGAUUAUUGAAAGAAAACUAUGGUUAUGCAACUGGAAAAUAGCUUGCAGAUUCCCAAGCUUUCAGGCUACUUUAAAUGCUUCCCAUGGAAUGCAGAAUCCUCCCAAGGUAAGAGUGCAAAAUGCAACUCUGCUAUAUCCAAUGCCUGCCGAUAUAAGAGAGCACUUUAAUGAACUAACUUUGAGAAAAGUGAAGCCAAAAACCAGCUUUACCUCUUAAAUGGUCAGAGUACCCUUUGAGCAUCAGUGUUUGUAAAAGGUCUCAAAACAUCUUUAAAUUAGAGGGACCAUUGGUCUGCUUCAUCUCGAGUCAUCAACAUGGAAGUGCUCAAAUGCUUAGUUCCUUCACUACAAAGGCUGAAGAUCCAGC
rnacentral:lncRNA from 1 species